UACGUAGGGGGCUAGCGUUGUCCGGAAUCAUUGGGCGUAAAGCGCGUGUAGGCGGCUCGGUAGGUCUGCUCUGAAAGCCUGGGGCUCAACCCUGGGAGGCGGGUGGAUACUGCUGAGCUCGAGUCCGGAAGAGGCGAGUGGAAUUCCUGGUGUAGCGGUGAAAUGCGCAGAUAUCAGGAGGAACACCAAUGGCGAAGGCAGCUCGCUGGGACGGUACUGACGCUGAGACGCGAAAGCGUGGGGAGCAAACAGG
rnacentral:rRNA from 1 species